rnacentral:lncRNA from 1 species
UCUCACCUAAUUGGCUACUUUUUUCUCUCACCUCACCCCUAUUUCUCACCACCUCAUUUUCCGAUGAAAUCUGUGGGAGAAGUGAUACAUUCCGAGGAUUCAUUAGCGAUCACAAGCGAAUUGGAGGUCAUUUUAAAGAUGGAAGAAAACAAGGAAAAAGGAGAGACCCAAUUUACAUGAGUGCAUAGAUGCAGCGUCUCCUUAGUAAGAAUUUGCACAAUAAUUUUGACAGAAAGCAGAGGAGUCAACACAAGAAAAUUCUAAAAAGAAAGAUUUGCCUCUUCUUCAUCCUCGUCGCAUUCUCUAGCGACCCUCACCCAUCUUCUGCGGCGCCUCCUUCUCCUGUAGAAACCUAUGGAGACAGAUCCCCCUCUUCCUUAUCCUCACAGCCGGUGAAAUUCCACAAGGCCAAUUCGCCUCUUCUUCGUUCUCAUCGUUUGUAUAGCUGAAAUACAUUUAUACAAAUGUAUAUUGUAUCUCUGAAAUCUUUUAGUCAUAAGAUGAUUUUGUUUGUAUAUUUCUAUAAGCACAUUUGUAUUUCUAUAUUUACUUUGUUAUAUUUCCU